AGAUUAUCUUUUGGCGACUAAACUAUGAUUGUUAAUAUAACACAUUCCUUCCUUGAAAUCAACGUGGUCCCACGGCCAAAAUCUUAGAUCAUUUCAUUUCUCCGAACCGCCGAAUAUAAACAGAAGUCACACUCGUGUGGUCCGAUAACGCCAAGCGUUCUGGAAUGUUCCUCAAGGGCCCACGACGCAAUAUAAAAUUGUAAUAGAAAUUGUCUUUGCAACACUACAAAAUUAUAUAAAUUACUCAUAGUAUUUCUUUAUACCGUUAUUAUGAAUACGCACACGUCAAUCAGUUCCACAAUAGUUACAGUACCGAGCGCGAUUUAACUUUAAUAAUUGUAAAACGAAAUAGAUAAUGUUCAUUCUAAAUUUCUAA